rnacentral:lncRNA from 1 species
UCACUAUAAAAAUAAUAAAAUUACAUUAAUGAUUAUUUUACUUAUGAACCAUGAUCCUUUUAUGACACUAAUCAAAUUGUUAAAGUUUUAAUUUCAUUAUUAGCUUCGUUCCAUGUUUUUGGUCUUAACAAUAGUGAAAGGGUGAUAUGAUAUUGGCACCGGCUAGGAUUUCCACGCCAAACCUAGGAAGCUUACAUGUUUAAAUAAGAAAGUCAAACACAAUAAUCUUACAUAGUCUAUACUCAUCUUUUAAGGCUUCUAUAGUUAAAGUAGACAAAGGUUAUGUCCCUCUUUUCUAUGCUUAUUAUAUUUCAUUGUUGAAAUCAAGGUAGUUAAAAUCGAAAUUAUGGUUAAAAUCAUAAGAGAUUCAUAAAAUCGUAAAUGGUGGAAUCAUAACACAAAUUAUAGAUUUUACUUUCCACAAUAAAAAUGACAAGUUAUUAAAAUAAAAUCAAUUCGUCUAUCAAUAUUUCAUCAACUUAAGUUUACAAAACUAAUCACUUCUACCCUUACAAUUAUAACCGUAAGAGUUUUAAGAGUGUUACAAAAAAUAUUAUUUUAUUUUAAUGAAUUGAAAUUCAUUUAAGAAGGUAAAUGGUGUAGAAGAAACCUUGGGCGUUAAUCCCUUCACCUCCCCAUUUCAAUCCUCCACCUCCCCAUUUUUUUUCUUUAAUUAUAAAACUAACCUUUUCUUAUUUUUUUUUUACUUUUUUAAUCCUAUUUACUAAAUAACCCUAACUUUUCACUUUCCACUUCAAUCAGAUUUUACUUUCAAAGACGCAGGCGCACCUCCUCUUUUCUGAUUCUUCUCACCCUCACGCUCCAAGUUCCAUUUUCUAACAUUCCAACUCUCCCAGUCAUCUUCAUGUGCUUUUAACUUUUGGUGUGUGUGGUGCGGCGCGGUGGUUGUUGUCUCGUAGUUUCGUUUCUGCCUCUUGGUCUACGAGAGAUGUUAGUUUCUUUGGUUGAACAUGAUAUAGAUUGUGUUGAUUUCUGCUUUAUUUGUAAAUGUAUGUAAUAAAGGUUGUGUUG